rnacentral:rRNA from 1 species
GACGAAAGAUGGAGGAGGGCGGAACACAUGCAAGUCGAACGGAAAGGCCCUGCUUUUGUGGGGUGCUCGAGUGGCGAACGGGUGAGUAACACGUGAGUAACCUGCCCUUGACUUUGGGAUAACUUCAGGAAACUGGGGCUAAUACCGGAUAGGAGCUCCUGCUGCAUGGUGGGGGUUGGAAAGUUUCGGCGGUUGGGGAUGGACUCGCGGCUUAUCAGCUUGUUGGUGGGGUAGUGGCUUACCAAGGCUUUGACGGGUAGCCGGCCUGAGAGGGUGACCGGCCACAUUGGGACUGAGAUACGGCCCAGACUCCUACGGGAGGCAGCAGUGGGGAAUAUUGCACAAUGGGCGGAAGCCUGAUGCAGCAACGCCGCGUGCGGGAUGACGGCCUUCGGGUUGUAAACCGCUUUCGCCUGUGACGAAGCGUGAGUGACGGUAAUGGGUAAAGAAGCACCGGCUAACUACGUG